GUUGUAUGGUAAGUAAUUAAGCGCAUACGGUGGAUGCCUUGGCAGUAAGAGGCGAUGAAGGACGUAGUAGUCUGCGAUAAGCUUCGGUGAGCCGGCAAACAGGCUUUGACCCGAAGAUUUCCGAAUGGGGAAACCCCACAUGCUUGCAUGUGAUCAUUCACUGAAUUCAUAGGUGAAUGAAGCGAACCCGGAGAACUGAAACAUCUAAGUACCCGGAGGAAAAGAAAUCAACCGAGAUUCCGUUAGUAGUGGCGAGCGAACGCGGAACAGCCCAGUUACUAAAUCUUUUUUCACUUUAGCAGAAUGAGAUGGAAAGCUCAGCCAUAGCAGGUGAUAGCCCUGUACGCGAAAAGGUGGAUAAAGUGGGUAACGAAGAGUAGGUCGGGACACGUGAUAUCCUGAUUGAAGAUAGGGGGACCAUCCUCUAAGGCUAAAUACUACUUACUGACCGAUAGUGAACUAGUACCGUGAGGGAAAGGUGAAAAGAACCCCGGCGAGGGGAGUGAAAUAGAAUCUGAAACCGUAUGCGUACAAGCAGUGGAAGCUAUUCUUCGGAAUAGUAACUGCGUACCUUUUGUAUAAUGGGUCAGCGACUUACUUACAGUGGCAAGCUUAACCUUUUAGGGUAGGCGUAGGGAAACCGAGUCUGAAUAGGGCGUUAAGUCGCUGUGAGUAGACCCGAAACCGAGCGAUCUAUCCAUGGCCAGGGUGAAAGUCAGGUAACACUGACUGGAGGCCCGAACCCACGACCGUUGAAAAGUUCGGGGAUGAGUUGUGGAUAGGAGUGAAAGGCUAAUCAAGCUCGGAGAUAGCUGGUUCUCCGCGAAAGCUAUUUAGGUAGCGCCUCGUAUAUGACUCUCGGGGGUAGAGCACUGUUUCGGCUAGGGGACCAUCCCGGUCUACCAAACCGAUGCAAACUCCGAAUACCGAGAAGUUUAAGUACGGGAGACACACGGCGGGUGAUAAGGUCCGUCGUGAAGAGGGAAACAGCCCAGACCGCCAGCUAAGGUCCCAAAAUUGUGGCUAAGUGGGAAACGAUGUGGGAAGGCAUAGACAGCCAGGAGGUUGGCUUAGAAGCAGCCAUCUUUUAAAGAAAGCGUAAUAGCUCACUGGUCGAGUCGUCCUGCGCGGAAGAUCCAACGGGGCUCAAGCCACAUACCGAAGCUGCGGGUGUUAGGUUUUUACCUAACGCGGUAGCGGAGCGUUCUGUAAGUCUGUGAAGGUCAAUUGUUAAGUUGGCUGGAGAUAUCAGAAGUGCGAAUGCUGACAUAAGUAACGAUAAUGCGAGUGAAAAACUUGCACGCCGAAAAUCCAAGGUUUCCUGCUCAACGUUAAUCGGAGCAGGGUGAGUCGGCCCCUAAGGCGAGGCGGAAACGCGUAGUCGAUGGGAAACAGGUUAAUAUUCCUGUACUUUGCAAUAUUGCGAUGGGAGGACGGAGAAGGUUAGGUCAGCCACCCGAUGGUUGUGGUGGUUUAAGCAGGUAGAAAGAGUUUUUAGGUAAAUCCGGAAACUUAAUUUCGAGAUGUGAAUACGAUAGUAGCUCUUUCGGGAGUGAAAAAAGUGAUUGAUACCAUGCUUCCAGGAAAAGUCUCUAAGCUUCAGAUAUUGUGAAACCGUACCCCAAACCGACACAGGUGGAUAAGUAGAGAAUACUCAGGCGCUUGAGAGAACUUGGGUGAAGGAACUAGGCAAAAUGGCACCGUAACUUCGGGAGAAGGUGCGCCGCUCUUAGGUGAAAGACUUCGCGUCUCGAGCUGAAAGCGGUUGCAAAUACUAGGUGGCUGCGACUGUUUAUUAAAAACACAGCACUCUGCGAACUCGUAAGAGGAAGUAUAGGGUGUGACGCCUGCCCGGUGCUGGAAGGUUAAUUGAUGAGGUUAGUCUUCGGACGAAGCUUCUGAUCGAAGCCCCAGUAAACGGCGGCCGUAACUAUAACGGUCCUAAGGUAGCGAAAUUCCUUGUCGGGUAAGUUCCGACCUGCACGAAUGGCGUAACGAUGGCCACACUGUCUCCACCCAAGACUCAGUGAAAUUGAAUUUGCUGUGAAGAUGCAGUAUACCCGCGGCUAGACGGAAAGACCCCGUGAACCUUUACUAUAGCUUUGCACUGAACUUUGAAUAUGUUUGUGUAGGAUAGGUGGGAGGCUUUGAAGCUCAGGCGCUAGCUUGAGUCGAGCCAACCUUGAAAUACCACCCUGAUGUCUUUGGGGUUCUAACCUUGAUCCGUUAUCCGGAUUGGGAACAGUGCAUGGUGGGUAGUUUGACUGGGGCGGUCUCCUCCUAAAGAGUAACGGAGGAGCGCAAUGGUACCCUCAGCGCGGUCGGAAAUCGCGCAAUGUGUGUAAAAGCAAAAGGGUGCUUGACUGUAAGACUGACAAGUCGAGCAGGUACGAAAGUAGGCUUUAGUGAUCCGGUGGUUCUUCAUGGAAGGGCCAUCGCUCAACGGAUAAAAGGUACUCCGGGGAUAACAGGCUGAUACCGCCCAAGAGUUCAUAUC
rnacentral:rRNA from 1 species